rnacentral:tRNA from 1 species
UCCGGGAUCGUCUAACGGUAGGACACAUGCCUCUGGAGCAUGUUAUCGGGGUUCGAAUCCCUGUCCCGGAA